AGAGCAUGAUGAACCCAGCCGUUAGCAGGAAGGCGGCACAACAACGUCAGCGGCGCACCUACAGAGUGAGAAGAGAUAUUUUCGCUGAGUACGACGAUGCUGAGUUACUGAAAAGAUUCAGAUUGGACCGUGCUGGUAUUGUUGCAGUGACUGAUAUAGUGAGAGACAAGCUGCAAAGUAAAACUGAAAGAAAUAGAGCCUUGACCUCUGAGAUGGUGGCCAUCACAUUACGAUAUUUAGCCACAUGGAAAAUGCAACAGUGCAGUUGUGAUGAUUUUGGAACAACGCAGCCCACUAUCAGCCGUGCAAUAUCACAGACAAUUGAUGCACUGGCUGACCCAGAAGUAAUCUGCCAGUUCGUGGCUUUCCCUCACACCCAGCGUGAAGUGCAGCAAAAACAGGCAGAGUUCAUGCAAGUAACCUCAGUUUCCCGGUGUUGUGGGAGUGAUUGAUGGUACUCAUAUAAGAAUUGUGUCUCCUCAUGUCGAUGAACAUGUAUAUGUGAACAGGAAACGCUAUCACAGCAUAAAUGUGCAAGUAGUAUUUGAUGCUCACUAUAAGAUUCUUGACAUUGUGGCAAGGUGGCCUGGCUCAGUCAACGAUGCAAGAAUACUAGAUAAGUCAGCACUCAAACUGAUGUUUGAGGAACAACAUGUACCUGCAGGAUGCUACCUUCCCGGGGACAGUGGCUAUCCCUGUAAGCAGUGGCUCCUCACUCCUUACCUUCGCCCUCAAACUGUUGCACAAGCUAAUUAUAACAGCAAAUCCCGAGGAUCAACGAGGACAUGGUGGACCCAGAGAUUGCAGCAGCAGCAAGAGAGAGAGAGAGAAGCAAGAGAGGAGGGAGAGGAAGGAGAGGAGGAGGAGAGAGAGGGAGGCCAGGAGGGAGGCACGUCAGAGAGAGAGGGAGAGGAAGAGGUUGAUUCUGUUACAACAACAACUGCAACAACAACAACAGUUAGUCAGUGAGGAGGGGGGAGGGGCCGUCCUCUGAUGCUGAGGAUGAGGUAUUGUUCAGGGAGGCCAUGUCGGAGGUGCCGGUGGUGGGGUCGCCAGUUCCGGAGUACGAGGUGGAGGAGGAAAAGGAAGAGGAGGACGAGGAGGAGGCACGGAUAAGGAAGAAGAAAAGAUUAUUACCUGUAGCCCUCCCUCCAGCUGAUAAGGGGAUAUUAAGGAGCCCUUCCUACAGGUUCGUUCGAUGCAAGGAGUUGGCACAGGAGGCGUCCGAGGCUGUGUAGAGCGGCCGUCUGAACCUGGUGCCACAGCUUACUAUGUUCAACAGAUGCCUGAAGGAAGUGUGUGUAAGGGAGGAUAAAGAGAUCAUGCUGGCCUAUGCAGACGAUGUCGCUGUCGUGACAGGAAGCCAACAAGAUCUUCAAGAGGCCAUGACAAGAUGGAAUGAUGUUUUAAAUAGGGAAGGAAUGAGAAUGAACAAACAAAAAACUUAUUUACUAGUGGACAAGCAACAAGUGAUGGUGUGGCUCUGAGCCACUGUAGUAGGGAUGUUAUGGUUUAAGUGUAGGAAGUUGCAAAUGCUCACCUAACAAUUGCACCUUAGUAGAAAAACACAAACAGGAAGUUUAUGCAAGUUUUUAUCCUUAUAUAAAAUGUUGUAUUGCAUCAAACCUCCAUACAUUACUGUCUCUAUCCAGUAUGAGACCGGUGUUCAGGAAGCACAAGCAUGUGCUGAAUAACAAGAAGCCGGCAUUGGUGAAGGUGACAACAUUUCAUCUAUUUAUACAUACUUUUUAUUAUUAAAGCUUAUCUUAUAAUUAUUUCUGAAGAGAUUGACUAAUUUUUGUAGUAUUUAUGACUUAGAACUAUGAUAAAGCUAUGAAUUGAUAUAAUUCCUGAUUUG